AGCGAACGCUGGCGGCAGGCCUAACACAUGCAAGUCGAACGAACUCUUCGGAGUUAGUGGCGGACGGGUGAGUAACACGUGGGAACGUGCCUUUUGGUUCGGAAUAACUCAGGUAAACUUGUGCUAAUACCGAAUGCGCCCUUCGGGGGAACGAUUUAUCGCGAUUAGAGCGGCCCGCGUCUGAUUAGCUAGUUGGUGAUGUAACGGCUAACCAAGGAGACGUUCAUUAGCUGGUCGGAGAGGAUGACCCGCUACAAUGGGACUGAGACACGGCCCAGACUCCUACGGGAGGCAGCGGUGGGGAAUCUUGCGGAAUGGGCGCAAGCCUGACGCAGCCAUGCGGGGUGAAUGAUGAAGGUGUUAGGAUUGUAAAAUUCUUUCACCGGGGACGAUAAUGACGGUACCCGGAGAAGAAGCCCCGGCUAACUUCGUG
rnacentral:rRNA from 1 species